GAUUCUUUGGUCGAGCGGUCUAAGACGUCAGUUUAAGGCACUGAUCCUCCGGGGCGUGGGUUCAAAUCCCACAGGAAUCA
rfam:Dictyostelium fasciculatum unplaced genomic scaffold Scf_Dfasci-F-a-25c12.r2-5, whole genome shotgun sequence.